UACGAAGGGGGCUAGCGUUGCUCGGAAUCACUGGGCGUAAAGCGCACGUAGGCGGCUUGUUAAGUCAGGGGUGAAAUCCUGGAGCUCAACUCCAGAACUGCCUUUGAUACUGGCGAGCUUGAGUUCGGGAGAGGUGAGUGGAACUGCGAGUGUAGAGGUGAAAUUCGUAGAUAUUCGCAAGAACACCAAUGGCGAAGGCAGCUCGCUGGGACGUGACUGACGCUGAGACGCGAAAGCGUGGGGAGCAAACAGG
rnacentral:rRNA from 1 species